GCAGAGUAGGCGUAUGCGCGUUAAGUGCCGGUCGUACAGGGAGUUGACGGCUGGACGAAAAGAGUUUCUUGCGGUGCGUAUGCCGCAUCCCGCUGC
rnacentral:ncRNA from 1 species